AGUUAUAAAGUCUAAUGAUAGACAAUAUGCUUUGAAAGCAUGUCAAAGGAGUUAAAAUCCCCUAAUAACUU
rnacentral:tRNA from 1 species